CGCGGGGUAGUAGCAGUCUGGUAGCUCGUCAGUCUCAUAAACUGAAGGUCGGUGGUUCAAAUCCACCCCCCGCAA
rnacentral:tRNA from 1 species